CCUGCAGCCGUGCGCAGCUCAGCUGGGGCUGCCGGGGCCAGCCCAGCAAGCACAGACUCACGUUACCCAGGCAGAAUUGCAUUCUCUGCUGUCCCUUGUCUUCCUGCAAAUUCCCAGGGCCGUCUGCAGUCCCCCAGGAGCCUGCUUGCAAGCACACAGCAUGGAAGUGAGGAGAAGUCAACAUCCACGGAGAAGCACCAGGCUGGGACCUGUGAACACUGCAGCCUUUAGUCCUGCAGGCCCUCCACGAUCACCUGGCAUGGAUUAAGAUGCUGUUAGCAACAGAAACCUCAAGGAGCACACAACGCCAGCACCUGGGCCUGAGUCCCCUGGAUGAAGUACUUCUGUGUCUGCUAGUUCAUUUUCCAACUGCCAGCACCCGUGACUCCUUGUGGAAGGCUCUGUGUAGCCAGCUAGCACAGUAGAGUUGGAGCUGCCCUCGACUAAUGACUGAUGCUGUUCAACAACAGGAAAGGCAUUGCUGAUGCCGGGUGUAGACAAACCAGUGGAUCCUCAGCACCUUCGCAGGGCCCCAGCUGGUGGGCACCGAGAAAGCCAGGCACGAGGAUGUGUCACGGCCUAGGAUGAGACCCAAGUGCCUGCUGGAGGGGCUGGGCAAGCCCACGACAGCACCUCGGAGCAAGAGAAGACUGAGCAGCUGUUAGAGAAGAGGCGGCAGAGCUCUGGAACCAAGGCGGGGAAAUCUCCAAAUACAUUAGGUCACAGAGAAAAAGGACCUAAGCAUGAAUACUAUGCUACUCCUGGGGUAAAAAUAAAAGGGUGGGGUGGAAGAGGAUUAAACAGUCACUGCAGUGUUUUCUUUCUUAAAAAUAGGUCUGAAAUAAAUAUUGCAAAAUGUCAGCAUUUGUAAAAUCUGGGUGGUGAGUUUCAGUUACGG